CGCCAAUAUGAUACACUUUGAGAAUAUAUUGAUGUUUAAUAAUAUCAUUGAAUAAUACAACAUUAUGCUUUAAUAAAGAUCUUCCGCGUACUUAGUAUGUUCAUUUGCGAGCUGUACAUAUCUUGGAUAGUCUAAGACAUAUGUAACGUAUUGAGAUUAACUAUUAAUUUAAUCCCUUUACAUUUUCUAUGUCGGGUACAACUCAAAUGACACAUGUAGAUGGUUAAGUUGACUAUUGGACAGUUGAAGGCAUCCUUCUUGUAAUACAGUCUUGUGACUCUGAAUCAUUAUGCAUAGAUCUAAAUAUGAAACAGAUGAAGCUGUCUCACUGGUCUCCUUUAGUUCCAGUUCAAGUGGGUUAAUCAGUGGAAGGGAAUUGGCUAUUUGACCAUUAUUGAACGAUUUCAGAUCAUCGAAAUACCUGAAGCUCAGGUUAAACUUCUUGGCCAAAUUACCUUGUUUUCAAGCAUGUCACAAGCUUUGAAUAUAUUUCAUCAUACAAUGUUUCCAUGUCUGACAAGCAGAAUGCAAUGUACAUAUAUUAAUAUACAUUUUUGUUUCUUCGUGUAUUUUUUUAAGUGUUAUACUUGCAGUACAUACCCAAGCUUCUACAUCCCCGCCUGCGCCUGUCGCGGCAGUUGGUGGUGCUGUUGGCGGCCUUGUCCUGUUGGUCCUGGUGCUGGUCCUCCUCCUCAUCAUCAGGAGGAGAAGAAACAAAGGGAAUAAGUCUCCUGAUGGACCAAUAUUUGAUGAGACGUCUCCAAGGAAUAGAAAGCACCACGGUGCUGAUAACGUUUACAUGAAUGUUGCGUUUGAGGAGAACACUCUGUCUAUUGGUGACAAAGAUCAUGACCAUCCAGAGCAUCCACAGGAAGCUGAUUCCCAGAGUGUGGCCAACCUAGAGGAAGACGACAAGGACGCCCAUGUUAACAUACAUCCGAAGGGGGAAGCAGUACCGGGUGUCUCAGGAUGUAACUAUUACAACUUGGGCGACCUUGGUCACGUUAUUCCAUUGUCUUCUCUUGAGGAAAGAGUACGUGAAAUUGAAAAUCAUCCCCAAGAGGCAUUUGAGCGCUUGCCAGACGGAUUUACCCACAGCUACUGAGAAUCUCAGAAGGCAGGGAACAAAGGGAAGAACAGAUUCAGGGGAUACUAUCCAUAUGACUACAACCGUGUGGUGUUGCACGGCGACAGUGACGGCAGCAGAGGCGACUACAUCAACGCCAGC